rnacentral:rRNA from 1 species
GUGUCAGCAGCCGCGGUAAUACGGAGGGUGCAAGCGUUGUUCGGAAUCAUUGGGCGUAAAGCGCGUGUAGGCGGCUUGGCAAGUCGGUUGUGAAAGCCCGGGGCCCAACCCCGGAAUUGCAUCUGAAACUGCCUCGCUAGAGUCCCGGAGAGGAAGGCAGAAUUCCCGGUGUAGGGGUGAAAUCCGUAGAUAUCGGGAGGAAUACCAGCGGCGAAGGCGGCCUUCUGGACGGUGACUGACGCUGAGACGCGAAAGCGUGGGGAGCAAACAGGAUUAGAAACCCCUGUAGUCC